UACGAAGGGGGCUAGCGUUGUUCGGAAUUACUGGGCGUAAAGCGCACGUAGGCGGAUUGUUAAGUCAGAGGUGAAAUCCCGGAGCUCAACUUCGGAACUGCCUUUGAUACUGGCAAUCUAGAGUCCGGAAGAGGUUAGUGGAAUUCCCAGUGUAGAGGUGAAAUUCGUAGAUAUUCGGAGGAACACCAGUGGCGAAGGCGGCUCACUGGCUCGAUACUGACGCUGAGGUGCGAAAGCGUGGGGGAGCAAACAGG
rnacentral:rRNA from 1 species